rnacentral:lncRNA from 1 species
ACAUCUUAAUAUUUUAUGAUGUAUUUAAAUGAGUAGUUAUUGUUGCAAAACUCCAUUAGAAAUUUUAAUUGAGAUUAGUUUUGGAAUAAGGGAAAGGGGAUGUGAAUUAAAAAAAUUGGGUUCAAUUUUUCUCAUUUGAAAAUUUCAUAAAUAAAAAAGAAAAUUUCUUCAAACAUUUUUAUGCCUCACCUACGAUAGUAGAGGGGCAUUAUGUUUUCUGGUCUGUGCGUCCGUCCGUCCGUCUGUCCCGCUUCAGGUUAAAGUUUUUGGUCAAGGUAGUUUUUGAUGAAG